GGCCGGUUAGCUCAGUCAGUUAGAGCAUGCUGCUGGUAAGACCAAGGUUGCGGGUUCGAUUCCCACGUGGUCCC
rnacentral:tRNA from 1 species